rnacentral:lncRNA from 1 species
AUAUUUUCAUUUCAAAGAUAAUUUCAGUGCUAUUUAACAUAAAAACCUUCGCAAAGGAGUUCAAAUCAAAACAAAAGUGCGGAAGGAAAAGCCCGACAUCGGGGUGUCACUAGUCAUAAGUAUCUACUACAAUCUAUUUAACAAUAUCAAGGCUAACUCAGCCUGGAAAAUAGCUAAAUACAACUAGAGGAAUAUAAGAGGAAGAAGAGCAGGGGCUGCAGUCGCCAAGCAGCUACCUUGCUAUCCCCGAGAAAAUCUGUAACCAAAAUAAUCAACAACCGCUAUCGUGUCCAGCUAUACCUGGAUCUGCACAAAAAGUGCACGGAGUAACGUAAGUAUGCCAACUCAGUAAGUAACAACAAUAAAUAAAGACUGAGCAGUAGUGACGAGCAAUAAUGCAAACCCAGUUCCAGUAAAAAUCAUUUAAAUAUAUUUGAAUCAAAAUAUCUCGUUUAAACCCAGUUCCAGUAAAAAUCAUUUAAAUAUAUUUUUCAAUAGUUUUCAAACAGAGGAAAAAUGCAAAGGUGAGCAAAAAUGAUGAAAUCAUAAACAGCUCCUCGAGCAAAACAUCACUCAUAUACAGCCCCUCGGGAAAACCUCACAUUCACUCGUACCACUCGGGCAUACCUCACAAUCACCCAUGCCUCCCAGUCACUCGGCACUCGCACUCAGUAGGUACUUGCGCUCAUUGGGGGUGUGUACAGACUCCGGAGGGGCUCCUUCAGCCCAAGCGCUAUAAUCUGCACGGACAACUCACGUGCUAUAAUAAUAAAGUAUGCUGCAGGCGGGCAGCCUCGAUCCACACUCAUCCUCACAAUCAGGCCCUCGGCCGAUAUCAAACAUGUUGCGGCGUGCAGCCCGAUCCCAUAAAUAUCCUCAUAAAUCAGGCCCUCAACCUCACUCAGUCAUAAACCUCUCAAGCUACUCGGGCAUUUCAGUAAAACAGGGUGCUCAACCCAAAACAACAUUUAUAUGCAUCAAAAUAGAGUCAUAAAACUGAGUUAUGCAGUAAACAAGUGUAACCAUGUCUGAGUAUAGAUUUUCAAUCGAAAACAAUGAGAGGAUAGUAAGAAAAGGCCCUUAAGGGUCUAAACAACACUGGCACAAGGCCGCCCAAACAUGGCAUUCAGUCCAAUUUACAGAAACUCUUUCUAAAACAUAUAAGUAUCAUAUAGUUUUAACAAAGUAUGCAACUUUACAGUUGCUACGGGACGGACCAAGUCACGAUCCCCAACAGUGCAUGCCCACACGCCUGUCACCUAGCAUGUGCGUUACUAAAAAUAAUAGAAUGAUACAAAAUCCGGGGUUUCGUACCCUCAAGACUAGAUUUACAAUCGUUACUUACCUCAAACCGGUCAAAUCUCUACCUCGCAAUGCUCUUGCCUCUGUACUCGGCCUCCAAAUGCUCCAAAUCUAUUCACAAUCAGUACAAUACCAUCAAUAUACGCUAAUGGAAUGAAUUCCAAUGGAAAAGAUAAAAAAUUAGACCAAAACCCGAAAUUGGCUCAAACCCGGCCCCUGGGCCCAUGUCUCGAAAUCCGACAAAAUUUACAAAACAAGAUAUCUCAUUCACUCACGAGUAUAACCAUACCAAAUUCAUCAAAAUCCGACAUCGUUUGGUCCUUCAAAUUCUUAAAUUACUUCUCCAAAAAUCCCAAGUCCUAACCCCUUAUUUUCACUAAUUAUAAUGACUAAACAACAGAAAAUUACCAUAUAUACAAGUAUUAGGGCUCAAGCAACUUACCUCACUGAUAGAUCUUGAAUCACCCUUCAAAAAUCACUCCAAAAGCUCCACAAACCGACUUGAAAAUGGUGGAAAUGAACCAAGUUCGCGAAGCAUUCUAUUUAUGGUUUCUGCCUAGGUUUUCGCACCUGCGGCUCUUUUUCUGUGCCUGCGGGACCGCACCUACGGUCUAGGUGCCGCAUCCGCGAACUCCACUUAAUUCCCCAGCUUCCGCACCUGCGCUCCAGGCCUCGCACAUGCGGGCUCAUAGGUGCGUCCAAAUCCUUCGCGCCUGCGCUCCAGCCUUGGCCUCACAUUUUUUUUCCGCAUCUGCACAGCAAAUUCUCGCGCCUGCGAAAGCGCACCUGCGCGUUUCCUCCGCUUCUGUGAAGCCUGCCUAGCAUCUCCCUUUCUGCAUCUGUGCCCCAGGUUUCGCACCUGCGGGCUCGCAGAUGCGACCUCCAACUCGCACCUGCGCAACCUGCCUAGCCUAGCAUUGCCCGCACCUACGAACUCCCCACGCGCACCAGCGGCCUCGCACCUGC